rnacentral:tRNA from 1 species
UCCCUGGUAGCUCAGAGGUUAAAGCAUCUGCCUGCAAUGCAGGAGAGCUGGGUUUGAUUCCUGGGUUGGGAA